rnacentral:rRNA from 1 species
AGGCAGCAGUGGGGAAUUUUUCGCAAUGGGCGAAAGCCUGGCGGAGCAAGCCCGCGUGGGGGAGGAAUGCCUUAGGGUUGUAAACCCCUUUUUUUUGGGAAGAAAAAAAUGACGGUACCCGAUGAAUAAGCCUCGGCUAAUUCCGUGCCAGCAGCCGCGGUAAUACGGAGGAGGCAAGCGUUUUCCGGAUUUAUUGGGCGUAAAGCGUCCGCAGGUGGCAGUUCAAGUUUGCUGUCAAAGACAGUGGCUCAACCACUGAAAGGCAGUAGAUACUGAACAGCUAGAGUGUGGUAGGGGCAGAGGGAAUUCCAGGUGUAGCGGUGAAAUGCGUAGAUUUCUGGAAGAACAUCGGUGGCGAAAGCGCUCUUCUAGGCCGCAACUGACACUCAGGGACGAAAGCUUGGGGAGCGAAUGGGAUUAGAUACCCCAGUAGUCCUAGCCGCGUCGUAAUACUAGGUGUUGCGUGUAUCGACC